rnacentral:sRNA from 1 species
UUUAUACUCACUCAUACACAUGACAUCUAGUCAUAUUUGACAUUAAAACACUAACAAAGCUUCUACUUGCUUCUCAAAGCUUUGAUGGUGUAGGCGAAGUCCGUAUGUGUUUUUGGCUUUGUAUCUUCUAACAAGGAAACACUACUUCGGCUUUGAA